AAACGAUGCUUACUCGGCAUAUGGAGUAUCGACCCUCUGUGUGUCUUAGCUAACGCGUUAAGUAAGCCGCCUGGGAAGUACGAGCGCAAGCUUAAAACUCAAAGGAAUAGACGGGGAUCCGCACAAGUGGUGGAGCAUGUGGUUUAAUUCGAUACUAAGCGAGAAACCUCACCAAGACUAGAAAUUUAGCUGCAUACUUUAGAAAUAAAGUAGCCUUCGAGGGUGCUAAACAGGUGUUGCAUGGUUGCCGUCAGCUCGUGCCGUAAGGUGUUCCUUUAAGUAGGGAAACGAGCGCAACCCUUGUCGUGUGUUAUAUGUGUCACACGAGACUGCCCCGACUUUUGUUUUUAAUCGAAAGAUUGAAGCCAGAAGUCGGGGAGGAAGGAGAGGAUGACGUCAAAUCAGCAUGGCCCUAGACGUCUUGGGCGACACACGUGCUACAAUGGCUGGAAUAAAGGGUUGCCAAACCGCGAGGUGGAGCUAAUCCCAAAAAUCCAGUCUCAGUUCGGAUUGGAGUCUGCAACUCGACUCCAUGAAGUCGGAAUCACUAGUAAUCGUGAAUCAUAACGUCACGGUGAAUACGUUCUCGGAUCUUGUACUCACCGCCCGUCACACCAAGAGAGCCGGUAACACCCGAAGCUCCUGUAUAAAAGCAGGGAUUACGGUGGGAUUGGUAAUAAGGGUGAAGUCGUAACAAGGUAGCCGUAGA
rnacentral:rRNA from 1 species